AUUCUCCUGCCUCAGACUCCGGAGUAGCUGGGACUACAGGCGCCGGCCACCAAGCCUGGCUAAUUUUUUGUAUUUUUAGUAGAGAUGGGGUUUCACCGUGUUAGCCAGGAUGGUCUGGAUCUCCUGACCUCUUGAUCCACCCGCCUUGGCCUCCCAAAGUGCUGGGAUUAACGGUGUGAGCCACCUCGCCCAGCCUGGAGCCCUUUCUUUAAUAUAAACAUAAAUGUUAGUCAACUUGUUUAAAUAUAAACAUGUGAGCUGCUUGAGCACAGGGACUACAUCAUAAUGUUUUUUGCUCUCUUACAUGUCUCAUCAACGAAUGGAUUAGGAAGACCCACUACGUUAUCUGAGACAAUGGCAAAAGCUGACAUAUGGCUUAUUCGAAACUACUGGGAUUUUCAAUUUCCUCACCCACUCUUACCAAAUGUUGAGUUCGUUGGAGGACUCCACUGCAAACCUGCCAAACCCCUACCGAAGGAAAUGGAAGAGUUUGUCCAGAGCUCUGGAGAAAAUGGUGUUGUGGUGUUUUCUCUGGGGUCGAUGGUCAGUAACACGUCAGAAGAAAGGGCC
rnacentral:lncRNA from 1 species